UACGGGAGUGGCAAGCGUUAUCCGGAAUUAUUGGGCGUAAAGCGUCCGCAGGCGGUCUGUCAAGUCUGCUGUUAGAGCGUGGAGCUUAACUCCAUUUCGGCAGUGGAAACUGACAGACUAGAGUGUGGUAGGGGCAGAGGGAAUUCCCGGUGUAGCGGUGAAAUGCGUAGAUAUCGGGAAGAACACCAGUGGCGAAGGCGCUCUGCUGGGCCAUAACUGACGCUCAUGGACGAAAGCCAGGGGAGCGAAAGGGAUUAGAUACCCCUGUAGUCCUGGCCGUAAACGAUGAACACUAGGUGUCGGGGGAAUCGACCCCCUCGGUGUCGUAGCCAACGCGUUAAGUGUUCCGCCUGGGGAGUACGCACGCAAGUGUGAAACUCAAAGGAAUUGACGGGGGCCCGCACAAGCGGUGGAGUAUGUGGUUUAAUUCGAUGCAACGCGAAGAACCUUACCAGGGUUUGACAUCCUGCGAAUCUCUUGGAAACGAGAGAGUGCCUUCGGGAACGCAGUGACAGGUGGUGCAUGGCUGUCGUCAGCUCGUGUCGUGAGAUGUUGGGUUAAGUCCCGCAACGAGCGCAACCCACGUCGUUAGUUGCCAGCAUUUAGUUGGGCACUCUAGCGAGACCGCCGGUGAUAAACCGGAGGAAGGUGUGGAUGACGUCAAGUCAUCAUGCCCCUUACAUCCUGGGCUACACACGUACUACAAUGCUACGGACAAAGGGCAGCAAACUCGCGAGAGCUAGCAAAUCCCAUAAACCGUGGCUCAGUUCAGAUCGUAGGCUGCAACUCGCCUACGUGAAGGAGGAAUCGCUAGUAAUCGCAGGUCAGCAUACUGCGGUGAAUACGUUCCCGGGCCU
rnacentral:rRNA from 1 species